UAGAGGGUCUAAAAUUUAUUGAGAAUCACAAGAUGUUUUAGUAAUUAGAGAUCGUAAAGAUAAAGUUUUCAACACUUGUUUUUUCUUGUUUUUUUUUUAUGCUUUCUCUUUUUUCUCCUCCUUAAAAUAUUUAGAUUAUCAAUGAACGGCCGGUGGAUGAUGAUAAACUCACAUUUAUUCUUCCUUUUUGGGCCUAUAUAAACCCUUUCACUCUCUUCAUUUCUUCACACAUCUCAAAACUGUUCUUUGUUCCAUAUACAGGAAACAAGGGAUAGCCUUCUCCCAUACUACCUAUACUAUACAUGAAAUGAGGGUUACCUGAAAACUACAGUUCUUCAAGGAGACAUCAAGUCUCAUUGUCUUUUAUAAAGAUUAAUUAAGGGUAAGGGCGGUGACAGAAGAGAGUGAGCACACAUGGUGGUUUUCUUGCAUGAUGAUGGUUCAUGCUUGAAGCUAUGCGUGCUCACCCUCUAUCUGUCACCCCACCACCAUCUCUCUUUCCUUCUCAUCUUCUUCUAUUAUCAGUUUUUAACAUAGUCGUCUUGAUGUCAAGAUCUGGUUUACAUGAAUUCAGUCUUUGUCGUUUCGAUUCAGUCUUUUUGUUUUUCCUUUUUAAUGAAAACACUAACCCUAGCUUUCAAAUUGGGGAUUCAGUACAGAAAACCAAUAAUACAUCAAAUCUCAUUCAUAAAUUUUCCAGGGUGUGGAGAACUCCUAAGAUUUCAAGGAUAUGGCGGCGGAAUUCGAAUCUGAAACAUCGAGAUCGUCUAGAUCUAAGAUCUGUCUAUGUACUAGUUACUACUUACUACUAGUUCAAACUUUUUCUGUUAUUUUAUGUUUAAUUUCAUGUGUAGGAGAUAGAAACUAUGGAUAUUGUCAAUUUUUUUAUGUUUAUUAUUAUUAUUAUUUAUUUUUUUGUCUUGCUUAUGCCAUGAAGAAAUUUAAAAGGAUUAGAUCCAUAUGACAGAUGUUCUUCAAAUCAAGUUGGCAUUAUGAGACAGGAAGCAAGUGUGUAGGGUUUCUUUAUUUUUAUUGAGAAUGAUAGUGAAAGAAAAUGGACAAAUAUCAUAGUGAUUUUGAUGUGUAUUGUCAAUUUUGUUUCUCUCUUGUUAUACUGUUGCUUUCAUUUUUUACUUUCAUCAAAUUAAUUUAAUGCAUGUAAGAUUAUUAGUUUUGAA